rnacentral:lncRNA from 1 species
GAGAUAUUAAUGCUUAUUUUCAUCUUCACUUAUUUUUGUCCAAUCUUACAUAUUCGUCUCUAUCUGGAAAUAACAUGCCUGAGAACAUCUCUGUCAGUCUAAGAAUUCUGUGAGGCUGUUAGAGAUCGGUACUCUGAGAUGAUUGAUGGAUUGGUUGAUUCACAGAAAUAGAUUACAAUCCUUUAAGGCCGUCCAUUGCUUGACAACCAGCUGGAAGGAUCAAUUCCAGAAAAUAAUAAUAAUGCCCACGGUUUGAUCUUUGGUUGAAGCACAAUUCAAGAUGCUACUUCUGAACUUGAUUCACUUGGACUUGAAUAGGAACAAGCCUAUCAGGACAAUCACAAAAACUUAGAUUGUCUUUGCGUCUUACAAAUUUAGAUCUUUCACUAUCACAAUUAUCUCCUUGUUUCUAUUCCAUUUCCAGGGGCGUUGAAAAUGCAGAUGUGAAGACUGAAGAACAUCGAUCUUAGGUAACAGUUCCUAGAUGGAAUUUUCUUACACACGAAAAGCUACUGCAAAUGUAGACAUGCUUCAACUUUGGUAUUAUAGCCAAAAGAAGCCAACAGCAACAAGACCUUCAGGAGAAGACUGGUGCAAAUCAUUUUGUGCCAACUAGUGAAGAAGGCAGCCAUGGCCUUAAUUCGAUGGAUUGUUUUGUAAUUUUGGUUUUGGUGGAGAACAACUGGGUUUUGCCAGAGAAAUUGAAUGGAGGAAAAAGUUAACCUAAGUAAAUGAUUUUUGGCGAAGAACAAAUGGGUUGAUUUUGGUAAAGAAGCAGCCAGGUGAAGCUUAUUUCUGAGGGGCGGCUGGUACACGGGUGGUGUUAGUGGUCGACGGUGGGGCUUCGAUUUUGGAGAGGUAAAAGCGGCUAAGAGAUGAACUUUCUUUAUUUUUACACUUCUUGAAAUUAUUAAAAAUAUGAUAAAGUACAAUGUUCA